AUACGGAGGGGGUUAGCGUUGUUCGGAAUUACUGGGCGUAAAGCGCACGUAGGCGGACUGGAAAGUUGGGGGUGAAAUCCCGGGGCUCAACCCCGGAACUGCCUCCAAAACUUCCAAUCUAGAGAUCGAGAGAGGUGAGUGGAAUUCCAAGUGUAGAGGUGAAAUUCGUAGAUAUUUGGAGGAACACCAGAGGCGAAGGCGGCUCACUGGCUCGAUACUGACGCUGAGGUGCGAAAGCGUGGGGAGCAAACAGGAGUAGAAACCCUAGUAGUCC
rnacentral:rRNA from 1 species